rnacentral:rRNA from 1 species
GAUCCUGGCUCAGGAUGAACGCUAGCGGCAGGCCUAACACAUGCAAGUCGAGGGGCAUCACGAGGUAGCAAUACUUUGGUGGCGACCGGCGCACGGGUGCGUAACGCGUAUGUAACCUACCUAUAACAGGGGCAUAACACUGAGAAAUUGGUACUAAUUCCCCAUAAUAUUCGGAGAGGCAUCUCUCCGGGUUGAAAACUCCGGUGGUUAUAGAUGGACAUGCGUUGUAUUAGUCUAGUUGGUUGG